rnacentral:piRNA from 1 species
UACCAAUGUUCCUACUCUUAAAAUGGUUGA